CUGAGUUUCUCCAAGCACAGAGGAUUUGAACUGUGAUAAAUGCUGGAAGACAUCGGAUAGCUGCCAGGAACAGCCACCCUCGGUGACACCUUUGACACCUCCUCACAUCCCUGGGCAGCUCGAAUUCCUCCACUGGACUCCUCCUGUUGCCCCGGCACAGCGGCUCAGAGGAUGCCAGUCCCUGCCCUUCCUUCUUCCUCAUGGUGAAGAAGAGAUGAGAGGACUUGGGGAAGGACGGGAGGUGGGGACAGGAAGGAUGGGUCCACAGGAACCCUGGCUGUCAAAAGAAGAAAUCCCAGGAAAUGAAUGCCUCGUGUGAGCCUGUGGGGAGG
rnacentral:lncRNA from 1 species